CAGGGCAUAAUUUAAAUAGAAUGUCGGCUUUGGGGGCCGGUAGUAAAGGUUAAAUUCCUUUUGCCUUGA
rnacentral:tRNA from 6 species